rnacentral:rRNA from 1 species
UACGUAGGGUGCAAGCGUUAAUCGGAAUUACUGGGCGUAAAGCGUGCGCAGGCGGUGAUGUAAGACAGAUGUGAAAUCCCCGGGCUCAACCUGGGAACUGCAUUUGUGACUGCAUCGCUGGAGUGCGGCAGAGGGGGAUGGAAUUCCGCGUGUAGCAGUGAAAUGCGUAGAUAUCAGGAGGAACACCGAUGGCGGAAGGCCAGGUCGUCUGGGACUGACACUGGACGCUCAUGCACGAAAGGCGUGGGGAGCAAACGAGG